CAGUACUAACGUCACGCGCUACUGCAACCACACUUAAACACUCCUUUAAUUUGUUUCAAACUCAAAUUCGUUGAACUGUAAUAAAUGCAAUAGCUGAUAUUGAUAAUUAUGUAAAUGUAAUGUAAUUAGGACCGAUGAUUAAUCCACGUGUCUCAGGGGUGGAGACGCGCGAGCCUACAGUCUCCUGAGAGCCGCAGGUCUUCAGACGCUCGCGAGGACCAAACACACUCGGAACGAUCAUCAUGACAGCAAACCCCUCCGUCCUGCUGCUGCUCACGACACUGCUGGACACACCGCUGUGUCGCGGUGAAGACGUGCUCGUGGUGGCGA